AAGCUCAUCAAACUCAAUAUUAAUAAACUAAGACCCAAAUGACAAUGAAUUACAAAUUCCAUGAGAUGGCAUCAAGGAAAGAAAUAAGGAUCAAUAACAACCUUUCAAAAGCUCACACACGACGCUACAUGUAAUUAUUAGGAAGAAUCUGUUUUUGAUUUUAGCAAUUAUCCCAAAAUCACUUAAGCGUGUCAUGACAUAGCUUCAAUUGAAGAAACUAUUAGGCAAUACCAAAUGGGACAGAAUGAUAUCAUAUCGUUUCAACACAAAGACUAAAGGCCGGGGAUUCUAGGAUGAUUUUUCAAGCCACCGAAGUUAGGUACAGUGUAAAUACAACAAAUUACAAAGGUAUUGCUAUCCCUGAGAAUUGACAACAUAACUGCACAUUUGAACUUAUAUUUUCAGGAGGCCAAACUUUUGAAUCGCAGCUAUUUUUUGCAAAAAUAAAUGAUUGAAUACACCAUGGCUUCUUAUUCAUACAUGCUAGUUCGAACAAUCAGUAACUUAGCAUCAAAUACAGUUGAGUCACACAUAAAAUACGAGAAUUUAUCAAGCUGAAUUUCAUAUUGUCUAGAAUCAGCAUAUUUCAGACAUAACUUCCAGACGCUCUUUGUUUGGUUUCCGAAUGAUAAGUGGUAUUGUACCACUAUUCUGCCCAUGGUAACCAAUGUUCCCAUUCCUUUGGAAUAUCGCUUGUAAAGCAUCCCAGGUAGUUCUCUAAGCACCGGUUAAGCACCUCCCUCCCGGGUUCUCUCGGGACCGGGAGAACUCUCAGUUAAGUACGGCAUUCAGUAAGAAGUAAGCCAAGUUCUAUUAGCUCUUCUAACUUGUCUUAGACUCGUCAGUCUGUGAUGCAUUGAGUUGAGAGUCAAAGGAUAAAGGAGUAGAAAACCUUAUAACUGAAAAAGAUUCGAGUGAAAGCCAGCUGCAUGAAGUCCAUCAAUAGUACUUUAGCUUUUUCAAUCAAUCUUCUUUUGAUUUUAUUCUCGGCUGGUUGAUAUUACAAUACGUCAGUUAGUUAAGAUUCGAUCCCCCUGGAAGACUAAAAGAAUUUAGCUUUCCUGAAAAUUUGUCUUAGACUCGUCAGUCUGUGUGUGAAUUGAGACAUAUUUGGAGGGAAGGAAAUGUGAAGAUGUGUUGGCUAAGCAAAGUCUCGGUCCUGCUCCUGGCUUAACCAUCCUACGUGAACCCCUACUGCAAUCAGACAGUGGAAAAAGAAUGAUAACUUAGGCGCGACGACACCUAGAGUUGUUACAGUGAGUUAGAGCGUAAAGCCUUAACAUGUUCCAAAAAAGGAAGUAUACAUGUCUCUCCCUCACGGAUAUUCUCCACAGGGGGUUCAGUUUAUGCUCUACCUAUUAUCUGGAUAUACCAAGAAAGAUGUACGGUCUAAUGAGGCUACAAACAUAGAAUCAGAAGAUAUUCCAUCAUAAAUCAAUUAAUUUGAUCGUUCCAAUAAGUAGGGAUAGAGAUCUUUGGUGUAUACCUAGUUUUGAGGCAACAUAGCUUAAAACAGCCAAAUAAAGACCAGAAAUCUACUAGUUAGAGCUCGGCAUCAGAAGAAACAGCCCAUAGCUUCAAAUUUCGAAUCCAAAGUAAAACUCGACACCCAGAAUUUAGGAGCAAAUGCAGCAGAAAUCAGCUAAAGCAGCAGCGACCUUAAGAGUCCCUUUUAAAACGAAAAUCCAGAUAGAUAAACACCUAAUUACUUUUUCCUUUUCGGUUUUGUUUUUGAACUCGGAUUUUUGAAUCCAGAACUUUUAGCUUUGUUUUCUUUUUGUUAUGAGGGAUCUUUACACGGGGAAAUGAAAAGGACGAACAGGUGAGAGAGUGAAGAUGGAGAAAGCAACGGCGUCCGUGGAGGGUAUUUUUGCACCGUUUUUGGCAUAUGGGGUCUCAGGAUUUGAUUUUUAGGUUAGGAAAGAUGGGUUUUAAAAGGAAGGGAAAAAUCGGGUCUUUGGGC
rnacentral:lncRNA from 1 species